UUCGGCCUACGGGGGGCAGCAGUGAGGAAUAUUGGUCAAUGGUCGGGAGACUGAACCAGCCACGCCGCGUGAGGGAGGAAGGUACAGAGUAUCGUAAACCUCUUUUGUCAGGGAACAAAGGCGGGGACGUGUCCCCGGAUGAGUGUACCUGAAGAAAAAGCAUCGGCUAACUCCGUGCCAGCAGCCGCGGUAAUACGGAGGAUGCGAGCGUUAUCCGGAUUUAUUGGGUUUAAAGGGGGGGCAGGCGGUCUGUUAAGUCAGCGGUCAAAGCCCGGGGGUCA
rnacentral:rRNA from 1 species